AGAGUUUGAUCAUGGCUCAGAUUGAACGCUGGCGGCAGGCCUAACACAUGCAAGUCGAGCGGAUGAAGGGAGCUUGCUCCUGGAUUCAGCGGCGGACGGGUGAGUAAUGCCUAGGAAUCUGCCUGGUAGUGGGGGAUAACGUCCGGAAACGGGCGCUAAUACCGCAUACGUCCUGAGGGAGAAAGUGGGGGAUCUUCGGACCUCACGCUAUCAGAUGAGCCUAGGUCGGAUUAGCUAGUUGGUGGGGUAAAGGCCUACCAAGGCGACGAUCCGUAACUGGUCUGAGAGGAUGAUCAGUCACACUGGAACUGAGACACGGUCCAGACUCCUACGGGAGGCAGCAGUGGGGAAUAUUGGACAAUGGGCGAAAGCCUGAUCCAGCCAUGCCGCGUGUGUGAAGAAGGUCUUCGGAUUGUAAAGCACUUUAAGUUGGGAGGAAGGGCAGUAAGUUAAUACCUUGCUGUUUUGACGUUACCAACAGAAUAAGCACCGGCUAACUUCGUGCCAGCAGCCGCGGUAAUACGAAGGGUGCAAGCGUUAAUCGGAAUUACUGGGCGUAAAGCGCGCGUAGGUGGUUCAGCAAGUUGGAUGUGAAAUCCCCGGGCUCAACCUGGGAACUGCAUCCAAAACUACUGAGCUAGAGUACGGUAGAGGGUGGUGGAAUUUCCUGUGUAGCGGUGAAAUGCGUAGAUAUAGGAAGGAACACCAGUGGCGAAGGCGACCACCUGGACUGAUACUGACACUGAGGUGCGAAAGCGCGGGGAGCAAACAGGAUCAGAUACCCUGGUAGUCCACGCCGUAAACGAUGUCGACUAGCCGUUGGGAUCCUUGAGAUCUUAGUGGCGCAGCUAACGCGAUAAGUCGACCGCCUGGGGAGUACGGCCGCAAGGUUAAAACUCAAAUGAAUUGACGGGGGCCCGCACAAGCGGUGGAGCAUGUGGUUUAAUUCGAAGCAACGCGAAGAACCUUACCUGGCCUUGACAUGCUGAGAACUUUCCAGAGAUGGAUUGGUGCCUUCGGGAACUCAGACACAGGUGCUGCAUGGCUGUCGUCAGCUCGUGUCGUGAGAUGUUGGGUUAAGUCCCGUAACGAGCGCAACCCUUGUCCUUAGUUACCAGCACCUCGGGUGGGCACUCUAAGGAGACUGCCGGUGACAAACCGGAGGAAGGUGGGGAUGACGUCAAGUCAUCAUGGCCCUUACGGCCAGGGCUACACACGUGCUACAAUGGUCGGUACAAAGGGUUGCCAAGCCGCGAGGUGGAGCUAAUCCCAUAAAACCGAUCGUAGUCCGGAUCGCAGUCUGCAACUCGACUGCGUGAAGUCGGAAUCGCUAGUAAUCGUGAAUCAGAAUGUCACGGUGAAUACGUUCCCGGGCCUUGUACACACCGCCCGUCACACCAUGGGAGUGGGUUGCUCCAGAAGUAGCUAGUCUAACCGCAAGGGGGACGGUUACCACGGAGUGAUUCAUGACUGGGGUGAAGUCGUAACAAGGUA
rnacentral:rRNA from 1 species